rnacentral:rRNA from 1 species
UACGUAGGGUGCGAGCGUUGUCCGGAAUUACUGGGCGUAAAGAGCUCGUAGGUGGUUUGUCGCGUUGUUCGUGAAAUCUCACGGCUUAACUGUGAGCGUGCGGGCGAUACGGGCAGACUGGAGUACUGCAGGGGAGACUGGAAUUCCUGGUGUAGCGGUGGAAUGCGCAGAUAUCAGGAGGAACACCGGUGGCGAAGGCGGAUCUCUGGGCCUUACCUGACGCUCAGGCGCGAAAGCUAGGGGAGCGAACAGG